AUUCUUUUCUUUUCUUUUCAAGACAGGGUCUCACUCUUUUGCCCCGGCUGGAGAGCAGUGGUGCUAUGCUGGCUGACUGCAACCUCCACCUCCCAGGUUCAAGCGAUUCUCCUGCCUCAGCCUCUCGAGUAGCUGGGACUACAGGCGCCCACCACCAUGCCUGGUUAAUUUUUGUAUUUUUAGUACAGACAGGGCUUCACCAUGUUGGCUAGGCUGGUCUUGAACUCCUGACCUCAAGUGAUCUGCCUGCCCCGGCCCCUCAAAGUGCUGGGAUUACAGGCGUGAGCCAACGCACCCGGCUAAGUUUUGUAUGGGGUUUCACCAUGUUGGCCGGGCUGGUCUUGAACUCCUGACCUCAAGUGAUCUGCCUGCCUUGGCCCCCCAAAGUGCUGGGAUUACAGGUGUGAGCCACUGUGCCUGGCCUACAUUUACUUUUAUUUAUUUAUUUGAGACGGAGUCUUGCUCUGUCAUGCUGGAGCGCAAUGGCACAAUCUCGGCUCACUGCAACCUCUGCCUCCCAGGUUUGAGCAAUUCUCCUGCCUCAGCCUCCCGAGUAGCUGGGACUACAGGUGCGUGCAACCACGCCUGGCUAAUUUUUGUAUUUUUAGCAGAGACGGGGUUUCACCACGUUGGCCAGGCUGGUCUUAAACUUCUGACCUCAGGUGAUCGCCUGCCUUGGCCUCCCAAAGUGCUGGGAUUACAGGCGUGAGCCACCGUGCCCAGCCUAUAUUUACUUUUAAAUGGUCCUGACCAACUAAAUGCAUUUCAUAAUCUAUUGAAAAAUACUGACUAAUGAACACAUAUAUACUUGAAUAUUAUUUUAUGUCUUUCCUUGGGUUUCUCUCUGGUUUAAAUAACAUCAACACCCUUACUCUUUCCUAAGAACUGUUUUUAAACCUUUCAAUAAUUUAGCAUGGUCUUUUUCCAGCUUCUUGCAUUGUCUCCAAACUAAGACUCUAAGAAAGUCUUGGUCGUUGCCAAGAGCAUGUGGAUUACUUCCCAGUACCAAGACUUCCAGCUCCAGCUCGAUCCAGCUCUUGCCCUCCAUCAGUCAGAUGGGCUUUCCAAAUGACACAACUCCACAUCCACCUGCCCUUGGGAAUCUUCUAUCUGUUUGGCCCCCAAGUAAUUCACUCUAGGAUUAGAAAGGAUGGCCAGGUGAGGUGGCUCAUGCCUGUAAUCCCAGCACUUUGGGAGGCCG
rnacentral:lncRNA from 1 species